rnacentral:piRNA from 1 species
UGAAUUAGUGAAGGCUACAGAGCUGAGAA